rnacentral:rRNA from 1 species
CGUAGGUGGCAAGCGUUAUCCGGAAUUAUUGGGCGUAAAGCGCGCGUAGGCGGUUUCUUAAGUCUGAUGUGAAAGCCCACGGCUCAACCGUGGAGGGUCAUUGGAAACUGGGAAACUUGAGUGCAGAAGAGGAAAGUGGAAUUCCAUGUGUAGCGGUGAAAUGCGCAGAGAUAUGGAGGAACACCAGUGGCGAAGGCGACUUUCUGGUCUGUAACUGACGCUGAUGUGCGAAAGCGUGGGGAUCAAACAGGAUU